CCCAUCCUUCACCCUCAGGUUCCAAUUCAAAAUACAACAUGAAAAACCAUUUUAAAAACAGACAAUUAUUUUAAAAUGCUAUCACUAAAAACAGAACGGGUCCUGAAAAGAUAUAGAAAACUGGUUUCUGCCACAGAUAGCUUCCUUCUUCUGCCCCAUCCAGGUAGUGUAACCACUGUUCCUUUAACUUUGAACUUGCAAACUAUGCUUCCAACAGUGUCUCUCGGAACAUUCAGUGUCCUCACUAUUUUUUGUAUCCUGCUCCUUGUUUGUGAAGGGCAAUGAUCUCUUCUCUUACCUUCUCGAACCAUUCUCUUGACUUAACCAUAUUUCUAACAUUUCUAAAUUUGACACUCAGCAACCCCCUGGCCAGUUCAGGUAUUUCAUUGUUGCAGCUCAAGCACAACUAUUGAAGCCCUUGAUUAGUUGCAUCAGGUAUGCUUGAGACACCACUUGUGGUAUCUGUGCUGUUGUGAGGGAUUCUGUUCAGCGGGUUGAAUAAUAGUGAGACCAGGGAAGCCAGUAUAAGUUGCAUUUUCAGCUGAAUUUGGGGAAACCACUUGAAGCAUCCAUUAUGUUGAGCUAUUUCAAUUGUUUUUGUUUUGUUUGCUCAUUGCAAACAGCUGACAGUCUGUAAAUUUUGAUAAUAAACCUGAUUUGCUAGAGGGGUUUAAUAAUUUCGAUUGCAACUGUCUAUCCCAGGUCUCAAAGGCCACGAUAAGGAGGUGCAUCUUCAGUAUUUGCCGAAAACUGUAGAAUGAAGACUCCGGGCACAAUUCUGUGGGGCAGAAGUUCUAUAAUUUAGGAGCUGCCACAGAGAAUGCCUUCUCCUAGGUCACCAUCCCCUGAGCUUUGGAGGAUGGGGGAACUACCAAGAGGGGCCCCUCUGCUAAUCCUAACACCUGAGAGGGUCUGUAGGAAUGGAGGUUGUCUUUCAGAUAGGUGGGGACUGAGUCAUUUUAAGGAUUUAAACACCAAUGUGAGUACCUUGAAUUGAGCUCAGAAACAAACCAACAACCAACGCAGCUGUUUUAAAACAGGGAUUAUAUGGGAUCCAAAUUGUUGUGGGAAGUUUGGCAUCAAAAUGAACCACAGCUAGUAAUCUGGCCACUGCAUUUUGGACCAAUUGAAGUUUCCAAGUCAUCUUCAAGUGUAGCCCCAUGCAGAGCACAUAACAAUAAUGCAGUCUGGAAGGUACCAGAGCAUGGAGUGCAGUAGCCAAGUCAUUUCUGUCCAACAAGGGGCCUUAGCUGGAAAAAGGCACUCCCAGCUACCAUGGCCACCUGAGCCUUCAUUGGCAGUGUUGAGGCCAGGAGCACCCUCAAGCUGCACACAUGCUCCUUCCAGGGAAGCACAACCCUCUCUAGGACUGGCCAUCUCCUCAUCUCCCGGAUGCGAGAGUGCAGAAUAUAUAAGACCUUUGUUAUGUCUAAUCCCACCUAUUGAUGUCUGUUCUCUUCAUUUUCUCACUGCUACCUAGGACCACCCAGCCCAAAAGAUCUUACUUACACUGUGAAGUUACAGGCAUAUUGCUUUCAGUUUUGCAAGAUCUGAGGUUUGGUUUGAAGGUCUCAUAAGACUGUGGGAGAAAGGCAUGGCCCACACUUAUAUUUAGCUACAGGCAGGGCAAUCAGGCAGGCAAAUCUACCCCCACACUUGAAUAAAGGAGCAGACUGGCUGUUGGCUCUUUCAGUGAGUCAGGAAGGUAUUUUGGUGUCAUCCCUGACUGGCCAUAUGGCUGGCAUGUUUUUCACAUCCUGUGAGAUGUUCCGUCUUUUGGGUUGGCCUUUAACUGUGAUACGUCAACUGACUGGCUGUGGCCAUUUUGUUCAUGUCUUGCUUUCUUCUUGUGUCGUGUCUUUUUGCCAGAAGGUAGACAGCGGGAAAUACCGGUGGCAGCAUGAGUAUGGGAAGGUGCCCAGAAACAUCACCUUGGCUGACAAGGGUGCUAGCAGGACACUCGGAAGUCUGGAAGAACUGGAACAAGACUGAAGGAGGCCCAACGUGAUAAAAUCUACCUAACAAGAAGUUAUGUCUUCCUGCUAUGUGAACCUGUAACUUACAGUUGCAGUUUCUAGAGGGAGCCAAGUCAUGCCAGCAGGCCAUCUCAGUUAGUUGACCAGGCCAGCUGUGGGACUAAUCCAUGAAGAGCUAGCAUCCCACGCAAUCUCUCAUCAUAUCUGCCUUGAAGUUUAAAAAAUUGUAGUCCUCGUUCAACCCACUUACUUGUGUCUUGCCUCUUUAUUUCUGGCUCUGGGUGCUGUGCACUUUUCACCAGCUAGCCUGAAGACAGCAGUCUAUUUAUUUCAGAACACUGCAGAUGUACUCCAAGAGAUAAGCCAUCUGUCAGCUAUGACAGGCCACAUGAAAAUGUAUUAAGAAUAAAAUGGGCUUUAAUUUUUUUUCCUUGACUAAAUAUUGACAUCUAUCAUUACUAAAUGCACUUUUAAUAGCCCAGGACUUUUCUUGCCAUCCAGUAAUCUCAUUGAUUUUUGCUAUGCGCCUUAAACCAAAUUAGAAAGCAGAAGUCCAGGAACUUGUUAAAGAAGGCAGGAAAUAUUUCUUCUGGCUGAAGGUGCACUGAAUAUUCUCUAGGUUUGGCAUUCACUUUCAAAUUAGCAUAUUUGAAGCAGUCAGUUAAAUUACAGGCAGCGGGACGGGGGAUUAUUCACCUUGUUUUUAUGUUUUUCAGCACCUUUUAGAUUUUCUGUAUCUGCUUCAUGGCAUCACUUUCCUUCCUUUUCUUUGCUUUCUUUGCUCUUGGCCUCAUUGCCCAGAGAGCUGUUUAAUCCUAUUGUCUGUGAAGUCGCUUGGGAUUUUGUCCAUGAGUGUCUAUUACAACAUCAACCAGACGUAGCAUUAUGACACAGUCACGACAGAUAUAUCUACAUGAUGUCAUCAACCUAGUCACAUGGGUGACCUCAGCCCAUUGGAUCAAAUGGCA